ACUAGACUUCCCGGCUCCCUCAGCCAGGCGGCUCGGCUUCCGCCGGCGGCUUCAGUGUACCGGCCUCUUCGGAGCUCGUUCAAGGCACCGUUAGGUUGCCUUGCGGAAGAGAGAAGCUCACCUAGCUCUACCUUUCCCGCCCGCCGCCGGAGUUCUGGCUACCGAGACAAUGGGGUUACCAUGGAAACUGAACGUUGCGGGCGGAGCCCGCGCCUGUAGCCAUGGCGACGAGGGGCACUUCCGGCCCAGCGGAAUCCCAGGCCAUCCACGCAAACCAAGCUGCCGCCGCACCCUUGCCUUAACGGUCCCCGCGGGCGAGACUCGGGCGACCUUAGCUUCGUCCCCACACUUCCCUCUGCUGCGGCUGAACGGUCCACUACUGUUUUUCUUAAAGGGACCUCUCGGAGAUAACGACGCCGGAAGAGAAGUUCUUCUUCCUGGUCCAGACUAUGACUGAAAGCCCCCUGCAGCUGGAUAGAUGAAUAGCAAUUCUCAGAACUGAUCUCAGCCUGCUGGAACACAAAAAUGACUUAAAAGAAUAUUCCUGAAUGGAACACUCUACAAAAGAAUCAAGCAAAUUUUCCUCCUUGAGUUUAUACAAGUUGGUGCUAUCCUACUAGAAAAACAGAUAAUCUCCAGGAAAGAAGAUAUUUUAAAAUACAAUAAAAGUGACAGUUAUCUCCUGAGGUGCAAUUUUUACUUAGAGG